rnacentral:rRNA from 1 species
GUAGUCAUAUGCUUGUCUCAAAGAUUAAGCCAUGCAUGUCUAAGUAUAAGCAAUCUAUACAGUGAAACUGCGAAUGGCUCAUUAAAUCAGUUAUCGUUUAUUUGAUAGUACCUUACUACUUGGAUAACCGUGGUAAUUCUAGAGCUAAUACAUGCUAAAAACCCCGACCUCUGGAAGGGGUGUAUUUAUUAGAUAAAAAACCAAUGCCUUCGGGCUCCUUGGUGAUUCAUGAUAACUUUACGAAUCGCAUGGCCUUGUGCCGGCGAUGGUUCAUUCAAAUUUCUGCCCUAUCAACUUUCGAUGGUAAGGUAGUGGCUUACCAUGGUUUCAACGGGUAACGGGGAAU